rnacentral:siRNA from 1 species
GACGAAGAUGAAUUCAAGCAGGUC